rnacentral:rRNA from 1 species
CCUACGGGUGGCAGCAGUGGGGAAUAUUGCACAAUGGGGGAAACCCUGAUGCAGCGACGCCGCGUGAGUGAAGAAGUAUUUCGGUACGUAAAGCUCUAUCAGCAGGGAAGAAAAUGACGGUACCUGACUAAGAAGCACCGGCUAACUACGUGCCAGCAGCGGCGGUAAUACGUAGGGGGCAAGCGUUAUCCGGAAUUACUGGGUGUAAAGGGAGAGUAGGCGGCAAGGUAAGUGAUGUGUGAAAGCCUUGGGCUCAACCUGGGGAUUGCGUAACAAACUAGCUAGCUAGAGUACAGGAGAGGAAAGCGGAAUUCCUGGUGUAGCGGUGAAAUGCGUAGAUAUUAGGAAGAACACCGGUGGCGAAGGCGGCUUUCUGGACUGAAACUGACGCUGAGGCUCGAAAGCGUGGGGAGCGAACAGGAUUAGAUACCCUAGUAGUC